UCCCGUAAAUGGGUAGCGCCGUCCACCGUCUUCUCGCAAGAGGCGGCGGGCGGUUCGACACCGGCUUGCGGCGA
rnacentral:tRNA from 1 species